AUGCUCGCUUCGGCAGCACAUAUACUAAAACUGGAACGAUACAGAGAAGAUUAGCAUGGCCCCUGCGCAAGGAUGAAACGCAAAUUCGUGAAGCGGAAAAUGCCAAG
ensembl:snRNA U6 U6 spliceosomal RNA